rfam:Pseudomonas alkylphenolica strain KL28 chromosome, complete genome.
AUUCUGAGCGCCUGUUCGCUGGCCUAGCCGGCAACAUCCCAGGUAGUCGAGACCUUCAAGACUUCGGUGCGGCAUUGCGCAUUGGUCACUGUGCUCCCUGAUGCACACAGCCUCUAUUUACCCAACCCACAAGGGAUACCCUCCCUGGCGGG